CCAUAGCUCAAUUGGAUAGAGUGCUUGACUACGAAUCAAGAGGUUGGGGGUUCGACUCCCUCUGGGU
rnacentral:tRNA from 1 species